GACGAACGCUGGCGGCGUGCCUAACACAUGCAAGUCGAACGGAGUUAAGACUUCGGUUUUAACUUAGUGGCGAACGGGUGAGUAACGCGUGAGAAACCUGCCUUUCAGUGGGGGACAACAGUUGGAAACGACUGCUAAUACCGCAUAAUGUUAUUUGGGGGCAUCCCUGAAUAACCAAAGCUUUAUGUGCUGAAAGAUGGUCUCGCGUCUGAUUAGCUAGAUGGCGGGGUAACGGCCCACCAUGGCGACGAUCAGUAGCCGGUCUGAGAGGAUGAACGGCCACAUUGGGACUGAGAUACGGCCCAGACUCCUACGGGAGGCAGCAGUGGGGAAUAUUGGGCAAUGGGGGAAACCCUGACCCAGCAACGCCGCGUGAAGGAAGAAGGCCUGGUUGUAAACUCUUUACCUAGGGACGGAACAACAAUAGACGGUAACCUGGAGAAAAAGACAAACGGCUAACUAACGUG
rnacentral:rRNA from 1 species